AAGAUGAUACUUUCAGGGAUCAUUUCUGUAGUUCGCUACUAGAGAAGUUCCUCUAAACGUGUAGAGAAAAAAAAUGUUAAACA
ensembl:snoRNA U3 Small nucleolar RNA U3